ACAGGGAUUGCCCUAGUAACGGCGAGUGAAGCGGCAACAGCUCAAAUUUGAAAUCUGGCUCUCUUGCGGGGUCCGAAUUGUAAUUUGUAGAGGGCGCUUUGGCAUUGAUGGCGGUCUAAGUUCCUUGGAACAGGACAUCACAGAGGGUGAGAAUCCCGUACGUGGUCGCUAAUCUUUUGCUGUGUAAAGCCCCUUCAACGAGUCGAGUUGUUUGGGAAUGCAGCUCUAAAUGGGAGGUAAAUUUCUUCUAAAGCUAAAUAUUGGCCAGAGACCGAUAGCGCACAAGUAGAGUGAUCGAAAGAUGAAAAGCACUUUGGAAAGAGAGUCAAAAAGCACGUGAAAUUGUUGAAAGGGAAGCGCUUGCCGCCAGACUUGCCUGCAGUUGCUCACCUAGGCGUUAAGCCUGGGGCACUCUUCUGCAGGCAGGCCAGCAUCAGUUUGGGCAGCCGGAUAAAGGUCUCUGACACGUUCCAUCCUUCGUAGAUGGCCAUAUAGGGGAGACGUCAUGCGGUUAGCCUGGACUGAGGUCCGCGCAUUGCUAGGAUGCUGGCGUAAUGGCUGCAAGCGGCCCGUCUUGAAACACGGACCAAGGAGUCUAACAUCUAUGCGAGUGUUUGGGUGUCAAGCCCGAGCGCGCAAUAAACGUGAACGGAGGUGGGAACCCCUCUUUGGGGGGGGGGUGCACUAUCGACCGAUCCUGAUGUCUUCGGAUGGAUUUGAGUAAGAGCAUAGCUGUUGGGACCCGAAAGAUGGUGAACUAUGCUUGAAUAGGGUGAAGCCAGAGGAAACUCUGGUGGAGGCUCGCAGCGGUUCUGACGUGCAAAUCGAUCGUCAAAUUUGGGCAUAGGGGCGAAAGACUAAUCGA
rnacentral:rRNA from 1 species